GGGUUGUGAGGUUAAGCGACCAAGCGUACACGGUGGAUGCCCUGGCAGUCAGAGGCGAUGAAGGACGUGCUAAUCUGCGAUAAGCGCCGGUAAGGUGAUAUGAACCGUUAUAACCGGCGAUUUCCGAAUGGGGAAACCCAGUGUGAUUCGUCACACUAUCAUUAACUGAAUCCAUAGGUUAAUGAGGCGAACCGGGGGAACUGAAACAUCUAAGUACCCCGAGGAAAAGAAAUCAACCGAGAUUCCCCCAGUAGCGGCGAGCGAACGGGGAGGAGCCCAGAGCCUGAAUCAGCAUGUGUGUUAGUGGAAGCGUCUGGAAAGGCGCGCGAUACAGGGUGAC
rnacentral:rRNA from 1 species